rnacentral:rRNA from 1 species
GGCAGGUCAGAGGGAUGCUACCGGGCGACCGGAUGCGGAUCUCGAAAGCCUGUCCCAGUUCGGACUGGAGUCUGCAACCCGACUCCACGAAGUUGGAUUCGCUAGUAAUCGCGCAUCAGCCAUGGCGCGGUGAAUACGUUCCCGGGCCUUGUACACACCGCCCGUCAAGCCAUGGGAGCCGGGGGCGCCUGAAGUCCGGGACCGCGAGGACCGGCCUAGGGCGAAACUGGUAACUGGGGCUAAGUCGUAACAAGGUAGC